CCCCUGCGCCUGCGCAGUCCUUUGGCGGAGGCCUGGGCUAGGUCUAAGGGGUACGGUCCAAGUGGGGCGUCUGGAGAAGGGGGUCGGGGUUGGGGGCUCGGUAGAGCAGGGCUCGCCUGGGUCCCUAACGCAGCCCCAAAUGAGCCUGAGGUAUUUUCCUUAUAUGAUCAGGCUUCGUAACCGGCGCCGCUGGUCUGGAGCCUGAGAUGAUUAUGAAAACGUGGCAGGGUUUCCUGCUGUUCUGGAACUCGCCCUGUAGACUAGGCUAGGAACUAUAAAAUGCGCCUAAAUGCUGGGGAUUAAAGGCGUGCUCUACCA